UGGCCGGCGUGGCUGUGGCAGAGGCUAGGUUACGGGGAGAACUUGUAUGCAUAAAAGGUCAUCUGCCUGAAUAAAUUACUGUAAAGAAAAGCCAAAGGAAAAUACUCUUGCCACGUAACUGGACACACAAAUAUCUUGCUCAAAAGGAAUUAUUUUUUUCUGCUCAUAGGCUCUGAGCCCAUUACCAUAGCAACCACAACUUGUGUUGUCUAACUGGAUGUGAAUUUUAUACACUGUUAUUUGAAAUGUUAAGGCAGUAAGUGAAGAUAAAGUGCAAUUUCUAUAAUAUUUUGGAAGGACUUGUUUAUCUCAAAAAUCUUGUAGAGGAAAAGUUUCAUUGUGCAGCCUACUCAUUUGUUUAAUGAAACAGUUUAUUCAACACUGACCAUCGGCACAGCGUGUGCUAAGCAUGUUAGAGAAGUGAAAAGCAUAAAGAACACUUACCCUGGAGGAACUUCUCUAAUAAAAUCAGCUUGUCAUGGGUAAACAGAAUGCCUGAAAGAACAGUUUUUUCAUAGGGAGUUAUCUAAUUUUAGAAUAAUCUGAUCAUCAUAAUUAGAGUAGUCUAUUAGGACCUGUAAGUAAGACAGCUAGAGGCUUGUUACAGCUGGUCAGAUUGCCCACAAGUAUUCAAAUACCUAUGGUAACCCCUACAGCAGGUACUUUUCCUUUUGGUCUUACAAAUGUGUUUGUAGCUACUCUCUGGAGAGGUGAGUGUUUCCUUCAUUGGAAGUUGAACACUUCUUGGCAGCUGGUACUGGCCUGAGGAAGCUGAAAAUGCCCACUGAUGAACAUGGAAGAAAAGUGUGAUGGUUCACCUGUUUCAGGUUGCUGAGAAAAUGGCUGUCCUGGCUGUGCUGCCACCGGCUGAGUGAUCACUGAGAGUGAG